GACAGAGGGGGCAAGCGGUGUCCGGAGUUACUGGGCGUAAAGGGCGCGGAGGCGGUCUGCGGCGUCGGCGCUGAAAGCGCCCCGAUUAACGGGGCGAGGCUUGCCGAUACGCGCAGGCUCGAGGCGAGCAGAGGGCGGCGGAAUUCCGGGUGGAGCGGUGAAAUGCGUAGAGAUCCGGAGGAACGCCAGUGGGGAAGCCGGGCGCCUGGGCUCGACCUGAAGCUGCGUCGCGACAGCGUGGGGAGCAAACCGG
rnacentral:rRNA from 1 species